GAUGAACGCUAGCUACAGGCUUAACACAUGCAAGUCGAGGGGCAGCAUGGUCUUAGCUUGCUAAGGCCGAUGGCGACCGGCGCACGGGUGAGUAACACGUAUCCAACCUGCCGUCUACUCUUGGACAGCCUUCUGAAAGGAAGAUUAAUACAAGAUGGCAUCAUGAGUCCGCAUGUUCACAUGAUUAAAGGUAUUCCGGUAGACGAUGGGGAUGCGUUCCAUUAGAUAGUAGGCGGGGUAACGGCCCACCUAGUCUUCGAUGGAUAGGGGUUCUGAGAGGAAGGUCCCCCACAUUAGAACUGAGACACGGUCCAAACUCCUACGGGAGGCAGCAGUGAGGAAUAUUAGUAAAUGGGCGCAGGCCUGAACCAGCCAAGUAGCGUGAAGGAUGACUGCCCUAUGGGUUGUAAACUUCUUUUAUAAAGGAAUAAAGUCGGGUAUGUAUACCCGUUUGCAUGUACUUUAUGAAUAAGGAUCGGCUAACUCCGUG
rnacentral:rRNA from 1 species